GCUCAGGGUGUCGAGGUUGUCGUGCUUCGAUUGGGUUCAUCUGGUGGUGCUUCGUGCCGCCAGUGCAUUCCCAGUCGAAGUUGGACCGUCAGUCGGGAAGAGAUUGGGACCUGUAUUAUCGGUGAUGAGGAGGUAGGCCUUGCGGUUGCUCUCGGGUGCCCAGGGUCACGUAUAGCUCUUUGCCGUGGUCUCAGUCGUCUUUCAAGUGCGUUGGAUGGCAGUUCGUCCAUGAUGGGUAGGUGCAGUCUCCCCUCGAGGGAGGUCGGGCCGGUCUUCUAAGUUGUGUGGUGCUGUUGAGCGUGUGUUCCGUUUCCUCGCCGUUAGAUUCUGUCUGCGGUGUAGGGUGCGGCACUGCCGGCAGCGUCAUAUCCUUUGAGGCUGUGUCCAAGUUCUGUGCCAAGGUGACUGGCGAAAAGUCGUUACUCUGUGC
rnacentral:rRNA from 1 species